AUUGAACGCUGGCGGCAUGCCUUACACAUGCAAGUCGAACGGCAGCACGGGAGCAAUCCUGGUGGCGAGUGGCGAACGGGUGAGUAAUAUAUCGGAACGUGCCCGGUCGUGGGGAUAACGUAGCGAAAGCUACGCUAAUACCGCAUACGAUCUACGGAUGAAAGCGGGGGAUCGCAGGACCUCGCGCGAUUGGAGCGGCCGAUAUCAGAUUAGGUAGUUGGUGAGGUAAAGGCUCACCAAGCCGACGAUCUGUAGCUGGUCUGAGAGGACGACCAGCCACACUGGGACUGAGACACGGCCCAGACUCCUACGGGAGGCAGCAGUGGGGAAUUUUGGGACAAUGGGCGCAAGCCUGAUCCAGCAAUGCCGCGUGCAGGAUGAA
rnacentral:rRNA from 1 species